rnacentral:rRNA from 1 species
UUGGAGGGCAAGUCUGGUGCCAGCAGCCGCGGUAAUUCCAGCUCCAAUAGCGUAUAUUAAAGUUGUUGCAGUUAAAAAGCUCGUAGUUGAAUUUCGGGAUUAGUACGUCGGUCGUGCCUUAGGUACGUACUGGUGUUACUGGUUCCUACCUUCUGACGAACCAUCAUGUCAUUAAUUUGGUGUGGUGGGGAAUCAGGACUGUUACUUUGAAAAAAUUAGAGUGUUUAAAGCAGGCUCGCGCUUGAAUACAUUAGCAUGGAAUAAUGAAAUAGGACGUUGAUCCUAUUUUGUUGGUUUCUAGGAUUGACGUAAUGAUUAAUAGGGAUAGUUGGGGGCAUUAGUAUUCAAUUGUCAGAGGUGAAAUUCUUGGAUUUAUUGAAGACUAACUACUGCGAAAGCAUUUGCCAAGGAUGUUUUCAUUAAUCAAGAACGAAAGUUAGGGGAUCGAAGACGAUCAGAUACCGUCGUAGUCUUAACCAUAAACUAUGCCGGCUAGGGAUCGGAUGAUGUUAUUUUUAAUGACUCAUUCGGCGCCUUACGGGAAAC